rnacentral:rRNA from 1 species
GACGAACGCUGGCGGCGUGCCUAAUACAUGCAAGUCGAGCGAACGGACCAGAAGCUUGCUCCUCUGAUGUUAUCGGCGGACGGGUGAGUAACACGUGGAUAACCUACCUAUAAGACUGGGAUAACUUCGGGAAACCGGAGCUAAUACCGGAUAAUAUUUUGAACCUCAUGGUUCAAAAGUGAAAGACGGUAUUGCUGUCACUAAUAGAUGGAUCCGCGCUGCAUUAGUUAGUGGGUAAGGUAACGGCUUACCAAGGCUACGAGGGAUACACGACCUGUGAGCGACGUCGCACAGCCGGUAAGAGAGACUGGUCCGACACUCCGACACGAGGCAGCAGUAGAGAAUCUUACGCAAUGCAGGAGAGCCUGACGGAGCAACGCCGGCGGAGGGAUGAAGCUCUUCUGAUCGGAGAACGAUGUAAGUAGUGAAGUACAUAUGUGCAAGUAACUGUGAAGAUCUUGACGGUACCUAAUCAGAAAGCCACGGCUAACUACGUG